UCCUAUAUGGUCUAGCGUUAGGGAUUCCUGGUUUUCCACCCAGGCGCCCAGGGUUCAACUCCGUGUGGGAA